UACGAAGGGGGCUAGCGUUGUUCGGAUUACUGGGCGUAAAGCGCACGUAGGCGGAUCGAUCAGUCAGGGGUGAAAUCCCAGAGCUCAACUCUGGAACUGCCUUUGAUACUGUCGAUCUGGAGUAUGGAAGAGGUGAGUGGAAUUCCGAGUGUAGAGGUGAAAUUCGUAGAUAUUCGGAGGAACACCAGUGGCGAAGGCGGCUCACUGGUCCAUUACUGACGCUGAGGUGCGAAGCGUGGGAGCAAACAGG
rnacentral:rRNA from 1 species